CCUACGGGAGGCAGCAGUGGGGAAUAUUGGACAAUGGGCGAAAGCCUGAUCCAGCCAUGCCGCGUGUGUGAAGAAGGUCUUCGGAUUGUAAAGCACUUUAAGUUGGGAGGAAGGGCAGUAAAUUAAUACUUUGCUGUUUUGACGUUACCGACAGAAUAAGCACCGGCUAACUCUGUGCCAGCAGCCGCGGUAAUACAGAGGGUGCAAGCGUUAAUCGGAAUUACUGGGCGUAAAGCGCGCGUAGGUGGUUCGUUAAGUUGGAUGUGAAAGCCCCGGGCUCAACCUGGGAACUGCAUUCAAAACUGACGAGCUAGAGUAUGGUAGAGGGUGGUGGAAUUUCCUGUGUAGCGGUGAAAUGCGUAGAUAUAGGAAGGAACACCAGUGGCGAAGGCGACCACCUGGACUGAUACUGACACUGAGGUGCGAAAGCGUGGGGAGCAAACAGGGAUUAGAUACCCUGGUAGUCCACGCCGUAAACGAUGUCAACUAGCCGUUGGGAGCCUUGAGCUCUUAGUGGCGCNGCACGCAUAGUUAGACGCCGCGGAGGACGGCCGCGAGUAACGUACGAAGAAGUAGAGCGUGAGAGNGCGAGCGACGACGAGGGAGGAGG
rnacentral:rRNA from 1 species